AACUUUCAACAAUGGAUCUCUUAGUUCUGGCAUUGAUGAAGAACGCAGCGAAAUGCGAUAAGUAGUGUAAAUUAUAGAAUUCAGUGAAUUAUUGAAUCUUUAAACGCACAUUGCGCCCCUUAGUAUCCCGAGGGGCAUGCCUAUUCGAGCGUUAUUUCACCACUCAAGCCUAGCUUAGUGUUGGGCUUUGGGAUGCGCCUCGAAACGCUCGGCGGCGUGGCACCGGCUUUAAGCGUAGCAGAAUCUUUCGCUUUAAAGGUCGGGGCCCCGUCUGCCGGAAGACCUACUUAUAAGGUUGACCUCAGAUUAAGUAGGGAUACCCGCUAAACUUAAGCAUAUCAAUAAGCGGAGGCU
rnacentral:misc_RNA from 1 species